UGAUAUCGAUGUUGGACAAGCACUGCUCCCAGCAAAAUCAAAGCUCUCAACGGGCAUCUUCUCUCUCCAUGUAUGAUUUUGUCUCUCUACCAAUGGGUUACAGGUAAGUGCAAACAUGCCAUGCUGUGUGCCAGGGAUAAUAAUGAAGAUCCUCUUUGAUUGUGAGGAUGGCAAAGGUUCUGCAUAUCCUGAGCUCAAACGAAGUAGAGAUAUUAUCCAUAAAGGUUGAUGAGAUCCAGCUGAAGCUAAAACGAACGGGCAAGAUGAGAAGGCUGAGGUACUGGUUUGAUUGCUUCUGUAUUUUCUCAUAACAAGCAUGUAUAUUCACUCAAAUAAAGUGUAGUUUUUAGCUGCUGCGUAUAUAAUCUGUGUUCUUGGACUACUUUAUAUGCACUUCAUAAUGAACAUCUGGAUUUACACUUAUAAUAAUCAAUUUAAGUGACAUUAUUAUAAUAUGCUGAUCCUUAUAAACAAAUGGGUAAUGCUCCAUCAUCACUUUCCCAAGUGUAUAUACACAGUAGGAAGGACAUGAAAACUUCGCAUUCUUGAUCUGCUAGAGUCAAGAAAAAGACCAUAGCAUUAAUAACAAUAGUAAUCCAAUUCAUUCUAACAUAAACUCAAAAUAUAAGAAGCAAUGUUCACCAUAAAACUUCAAUUAUAUCAUCACUUAUCAGAAUAUGCAAAAGUUAUCUCAUGAAGUUUUCAUUCCAUGCAAUGUUAAAAAUUCACACAUUUCUUUUCGAAUUAAAAAAAAGGAUAUCAGAUCAUGUAUAAAUCAGUGGAAACACAUUCAAAUGCUUCUUUGCUGUCAAAUACAAGCGUGAACUAACAAAGCACAUGAUUUUAAAAAAAAAAAAAAGGACAAUAUAUUCUCAUGCUCUGCCAAAUGAGGCGUCGUAGAAGUUGCAGGUGGAUGCUCUUUCUUCUGAAUCUAAAGUGUUGUGAGAGAUUUUGGCAGUCCAGAAGUAAAUGCAAGGAGAAUCACUUUUACAUAAAAUCAGAGAUUUAGAGGAUGACUUUUCUGAGGCACAAGGAACUAUAAUCCAUUGGAAGCUAUUAGCUUUGUCUCUGGUAUACCAGUGAAGCGGUGCAUGGCAAUAUCAAUGCCUGUAAAAGAGAUAAAUAUGUUCCCCUGGCGAUACGAGUGAGGAAAUAUUAUGCAGAAGCUAUCUUAGUGCAAGUUUCUUAUUCCUAUGUGCUAUUGUUCAUGCACGAAAAGUUGUCACCAUUACGCCAUCAACAGCCCUGUCUCUCAAAGAUAAGAGUUAUCUGCAUCAAAGUACUGACCAUUCUGUGCAGAACACAUUGUUAUGAGUACUAUGUCCAGUAUUUUUUUUUUAUUGUUAGUAUUAAUCAUGUGGAUGUUAUGAGACACGUCUCCCAGUGUAGCAAUAUCGUCAGUAUGUAUAUAUAAUUAGUCAACUACAAUGUCUGUAUUAUAUGUUAAUUUUUAAAGCUUCUUUAUGAAAAAGAAUGCGGACAAACAAUGGGGAAGUUUUAAGUGAAGGCGUCAUUU